UGAGGAAUAUUGGUCAAUGGGCGGGAGCCUGAACCAGCCAAGCCGCGUGAGGGAAGACGGCCCUACGGGUUGUAAACCUCUUUUGUCGGGGAACAAAAGUCUCCACGCGUGGAGAUGUGAGUGUACCCGAAGAAAAAGCAUCGGCUAACUCCGUGCCAGCAGCCGCGGUAAUACGGAGGAUGCGAGCGUUAUCCGGAUUUAUUGGGUUUAAAGGGUGCGUAGGCGGCGCGGAAAGUCAGCGGUAAAAGCGCGGGGCUCAACCCCGUCGAGCCGUUGAAACUGUCGUGCUUGAGUUGGCGAGAAGUACGCGGAAUGCGCGGUGUAGCGGUGAAAUGCAUAGAUAUCGCGCAGAACUCCGAUUGCGAAGGCAGCGUACCGGCGCCACACUGACGCUGAGGCACGAAAGCGUGGGGAUCGAACAGG
rnacentral:rRNA from 1 species